GCUCUCCCUGUUACAUUCUCUCUUCCCUGUUAUACCCUCAUCCCCACUCUCUAGCACCCCAGAUCCCCAGGUGUCCUCCCUGCUGUGCUUCUCCCUCUGUUCUCCUUGCCACCAGCACCACUCUGCUCUGUCUGCCCUGGCUCCAAAUCCCUCCUCCUCUCCCUCACUCUGAUGAGCCUCCCUCUUUGCUGUCCCUCUCCCUACCUUGCUCUCUGUCCUUCAUCUCUCUGUACAUCUACCUUUUCUCUACAUUUCUCCAGUUGCUUUUCUCCUCCUUUUUUUUUUUUUCCCCCACAUUUGCUGUGUCUGGCAAAUCCCUCACCCAUCCUCUACUUUGCCAUCUGUUAUGAGUCUUUUUUAUUCUUCUUUUCU
rnacentral:lncRNA from 1 species